AUUGAACGCUGGCGGCAUGCCUUACACAUGCAAGUCGAACGGUAACAGGUCUUCGGAUGCUGACGAGUGGCGAACGGGUGAGUAAUACAUCGGAACGUGCCUAGUAGUGGGGGAUAACUACUCGAAAGAGUGGCCAAUACCGCAUGAGAUCUACGGAUGAAAGCAGGGGAUCGCAAGACCUUCUGGUAAGAGGGCGGCCGAUGGGAGAUUAGGUAGUUGGUGGGAUAAAAGCUUACCAAGCCGACGAUCUGUAGCUGGGCUGAGAGGACGAUCAGCCAGACUGGGACUGAGACACGGCCCAGACUCCUACGGGAGGCAGCAGUGGGGAAUUUUGGACAAUGGGCGCAAGCCUGAUCCAGCAAUGCCGCGUGCAGGAUGAAGGCCUUCGGGUUGUAAACUGAUUUUGUACGGAACGAAAAGCCCUGGGUUAAUACCCUGGGGUCAUGACGGUACCGUAAGAAUAAGCACCGGCUAACUACGUGCCAGCCGCCGCUGUAACAC
rnacentral:rRNA from 1 species